rnacentral:rRNA from 1 species
GAUGAACGCUGGCGGCGUGCCUAAUACAUGCAAGUAGAACGCUGAAGGAGGAGCUUGCUCUUCUGGAUGAGUUGCGAACGGGUGAGUAACGCGUAGGUAACCUGCCUGGUAGCGGGGGAUAACUAUUGGAAACGAUAGCUAAUACCGCAUGACAACAGUUAUUGCAUGAUAACUGUUUAAAAGGGGCAACUGCUCCACUACCAGAUGGACCUGCGUUGUAUUAGCUAGUUGGUGAGGUAACGGCUCACCAAGGCGACGAUACAUAGCCGACCUGAGAGGGUGAUCGGCCACACUGGGACUGAGACACGGCCCAGACUCCUACGGGAGGCAGCAGUAGGGAAUCUUCGGCAAUGGACGGAAGUCUGACCGAGCAACGCCGCGUGAGUGAAGAAGGUUUUCGGAUCGUAAAGCUCUGUUGCAAGAGAAGAACGAGUGUGAGAGUGGAAAGUGCACACUGUGACGGUAUCUUACCAGAAAGGGACGGCUAACUACGU